AUAACUAAGUUAUAACUAAAGUAUAACUUAGUUAUACCUAGCCUGUGAGGUACAAAAAAGUUAUAACUAAAAUGUAACUUUUUUGGACUUUGUCAUUUUCAUGUAUAACUAAAAUGUAACUUUUUGGACUUAGCCAUUUUCACGUGUAACUAAAACAUAACUUUUCUGGACUUUGUCAUUUUCAUGUAUAACUAAAAUGUAACUUUUUGGACUUAGCCAUUUUCAUGUAUAACUAAAACAUAACUUUUCUGGACUUUGUCAUUUUCAUGUAUAACUAAAACAUAACUUUUCUGAACUUAGCCAUUUUCAAGCAUUACCAGUAUAAAUUUACAAGUUUUGGGGGUUAUUUAAUGGAUACUACUUGACACCAACUUUUUUUUUUUUCAAAAAUAACAUAUAAACUAAGUGUUAAUUUGAAUGAAUUUUGAUCGUGUUCAAAAUGUUUUUUUUUUUUUUUCAAACACUGCAGCAGAAAACUUUGUCAAUUCCUGAACAAUAAUAUUGUUUACUACCAGUGAUCGACUUCUCAUUCAUAAUACCGGUAAAUAUGCUGUCCACAGCCAUGUCAAGUUCAACAGAAGGGAUGUGAAAUAAAAUCUUGUGAAUUACAUCUAUAAAUGAGAAACUCUCUCUCUCUCUCUCUCUCUCUCUCUCUCUCUCUCUCUCUCUGUGGUGUUUGAGGGUGUGUACACAGUACAUGUCAUGUGUGUGUAAUAAAUAUUAUUGUCUAUUUAAAUUGAUAUUUGUCAUGUAAGUUUCAACUAAAGUUGAGAAUAAUUAAUUUCUCUCUCUCUCCUUCUCUCUCUCUCUCUCUUCUCUCUCUUAGAAAAUACGUAUUUAUUGAGACCCUGAUGAGACAUAAUAUUUGUCUUGUAAAUUAUAAUAAUGCACUUACAUCUGAAGUUGGGAAUGAAUAUAUUUCAUAAUUCUGGGGAAAUAUAAAUGUACUGCAAGAGAUAUAAACAGUAUGAAAUGUAAUCUCAUGAAGUCUUCGUGUGCAAAACUGUGUAAAUUUCCCUAUUGUUUUCUGUGAGACAGGUGUUUGUACUAGGUGACCUUUGUGGCCAACACAUCGUAAAUAUUUCAGCUUGGGUAUUACACAAUCUCUGAAUGAUACAAUUCUACACAGGUUGUUUGAAAUCUGAAGAAAAUCAGUCGUAAUAUGGGUGGCUAAAAAGAUAAACAACAGCAUAGAGUAUGUGCAUGUUCAUGUUGAACAGAUAUUACGAUGUUGUGAAUAAAGACUGCCAGUUAUAUUAAGAUUUAAGCAGAUGACUAGUACAUGUAGAUUUUAUUGUUUGCAUAAUUAAAUAACCCAGUUAUAAUAGUUAUUUUCACAAAUAAACAAAUAUUAAAUUCAAAAUGGCGGCAAAUAUGGCGGCCGCCGGCCUCCGAUGUCCGUUUUGUUGAUACUAAGAUAAAUUCAAAAUUUUAACACCAACUGGUAUUUAUAUUUUUAAUUUAAGGUUGAAAUUACACAAUUAGGUUUAUUUGCAUUUAAAAUAAAUUAAUAAUGAAUUAUUUAUUUAUUUUUUUCGAUCACGUGACGUUUUUGAGUUCUAUGAUUGGUCAAUAACAGAGCGCGGAUUUUUCCAUGGACGAUUUGAAUGUUUGGAUGUUGAAAGUGUUGAUAGAAAAAAAGGAGAUAAAACCAGUUGCAGAAUAUUGGUACAUGAUGUUUCCAUGAGCUGAAUCUGUCCUGACCUGGAGUACAUGAAAUUCUUCACAAUAUUACUUGUUUAAGAAUUGAAGAAAAGGUUAAAAUUGCAAGCAUAUUUCAACGAAAACUUAGCCGACUACCAGUCACACUGCCCACCAGCCAAGACGUCUGACCAGCUAAAAUGAGGGACGCAGACCACCAGCCAAGUCCCUCGGCCAGCUCGGCUGACCCAGUGCGGCCUGUCAAGGGAUGACCAAGUCCAUCAACUAGCUCGGCUGACUACCAGUGCAGCCUGUCAAGUCCUUCAACUAACUUGGCCUAUUACCAGUGCGGCCUGUCAUUG